rnacentral:lncRNA from 1 species
GAAUAGUCAGGAAAAGUAGUUAUCAUCUGUAAUAUAGGAGUUAAUAUCUGAGGGUAGUAUAAGGAGGAUGGGAGAGGGGAAAAAAAUGCCAGACUGUGAGAGUUGUAAGCCGAGGGCCAUACUGUGAUAGUCAUGAGCCGAGGGCCAUUGCUGUGAUAGUGUGAGCCGGGGUAAGCUUGGUGCUACCUCUUUUCUUUUGUUUGUUAUUUUCUUUGAAUAAGAGGAUUGAGAGUUUCUGAAUAUUGUGAAGUGAAUUAUGGAAUGGAAAUGUGAUUGGUAUUAUUUGAGAAGAAGAAAGAUUGAAUGUUGAAAUCUGAUUGUAGUUCAGCAGAGAGAAUGAGUCUGUAUUUGUGUAAAAUAUUGUAAUGUGAAUGGCAGUUUUGUGUGAAGAAUUCUAGUGAUUGGAACGAGGAUAAUUGUAUGCUAAAAGUUGUGAGGGCGUAGUAUUACAGUUGGAGAUUAUGAGGGUGAAUAUAUUGGUGGAAAUAGCAGUUAUUGGUAUGAUUGAAUUGCUAUAAAGAAGAGACCGAUAAGGUGAAAGAAGAGAUUAUAGUUUCCUUCUGUGUUCAGAUAUUGGAAAUAGAGACGAUACAUUCACGAGAUAUUUAAUUGUGUGACCCUAACAUGAACGCUUAAGCAACUAGUCAUUUCUCGUGUUCGAAUCUCCCUAUAUGGAUUUAUUUUGGGAAGUUUCUUCCAGAAUAAAUAAAACGAGUAAUCACAAUAGUUUAUUAUAAAAUGAAUUAGCUGAAUUCAAAGAAUAUAUUGAAGAAAAUCUGGCUAAGAAUUUUAUACGCCAUUCCAAAUUACCAGCAAGAGCUCCAAUCUUAUUUGUGAAGAAGAAAAAUGGAUCAUUGCGAAAGUAUGUUAAUUAUCAAGGACUCAACAAGAUCAUUGUUAAGAAUAGAUAUCCUCUAUCUUUGAUAUCCGGACUUCUCGAUCAAUUGAAUCAAGCUAAGAUCUAUACAAGAAUAGAUCUAUGGAGAGUAUGAAAUCUAAUACGUAUUAAGGAAGGAGAUGAAUGCAUUUUGAACUAGAUAUAGGCAUUUUGAAUACAACGUCAUGCCUUUUAGACUUAUAAAUGUAUCGACAGCUUUUCAACAUUUAAUGAAUGAUGUUUUUUUGAGAAUUUUUAGAUGAUUUUGUUGCCUGUUAUCUGGACAACAUCUUGAUCUAUUCUAAAAAUACAUAUGAAUAUGAACUUCAUGCUCGACAUGUGUUACAAAAAUUAAGAGAUGCACAGCUCUAUGUCAAGAUAGAAAAGUAUGUAUUUCACACUACUGAAGUUGACUUCUUUGUAUACAUUAUUUUAAAUGAUGAACUUAUGAUGGAUUCUAAAAAAGUUCAAACAAUUAUAGAUUAGAAGAUCCAAAAAUGGUAAGAGAUGUCUAAUACUUUUUGGGCUUUGCCGACUAUUUUCGAAUCUUCAUCAAAGACUUCUCUCGAGUUGCAGCUCCCUUUAUAUGUUUGACUUGCAAAGACAAACUUGAGUGGAGUAAAGAAGCUAAAGCAUCUUUUGAAACUUUGAAGUUAGCCUUUACUUCUACACCAAUCUUCUAUUGUGUCAACUUUUUUAAGGCAUUUUUAAUGGAAACAGAUGCAACAGACUUUGCUUUGGGUGUUGUAUUAUCACAAAUGGAAGUAAAUGAUAUACUUCAUCUAGUAGCUUUUUAUUCCUAAAAAAUUUCAGCAAUCGAGAUUAAUGAUGAAAUUGUAGAAUAGAUAUUAAUUUGUUUUUGAAUUAUAUUGGUAAAAUAUACUAAUAGUCCAUAGAAUAGGCAAUUCAGGAGGAUGGAUGAUUGAUUUAGUUAUUAAAUGUGAUUAAUUGCAGAAUUAUGGUUAGAAUCUAGAAAAUCAGAAGAAAUUAUAAAGGAGUUGUAGAAGUUAGUUUAAGGACCAGAUUGUGCUAGUCAUGAGCCAAGGUAAGCUUGGUGCUACUUCUUUCUUUGUUUAUUUUUUGGAUUUUUUUUUCUUUAUAAAAAAAGAGUUAUAGAUAGUUUCUCAAAAAUGUGAAGUAAUGUUUUGGAAUGAAAAGAGAUUUGAUAUUGUCAAAAGAAGAAUUUAAUUUAUUGAAUGUAGAGUUCUACAGUGGUAAAUUAAAAGAGAAUAAUUAGAAAUAUUUGUGAAGAAUAGAUAUGAAUGGAAGGAUUAUAAUACAUUAAGUAUUGAGAAUUGAGAGUGAUUCAUUAGAAGGAGUCUGUAGAGUUUGGAAUUCUGUGAAGAAGUGUAUUGAGAAGGAUAGUUAGUGGUGAAGGAUUCUAGUGUUUGAAUUAUGAAACGAUUAUGUACUAUCUUUUAGGAUAAUGCGGGGAUACACAUUGUUGUUAUCAAUGAUGGUAGAGUACUAUUAGGAAGUGGAAAACAUUGUGGUGUUCCUUGGUAUUUUUAGUGAUUUGAAAUAUGGUUAAUUGUAUGAUCUUAAGAAGUAAAAUUCAUGUGCUUAGUCUUUCCCUGCAUUUGAAUCUCCCUCUACAGGUUUAUUUUGAAAGAAAUUUGUAGAAUAAGUAAAACGAUAAUUACAUUUUGGCGCCAUUGCAGGAGAUUGACAAUAAUAUUGAGCAUUAAGAAUUAGCUACCGAUUGAAUAGAUAAAAAAUAAAAAGUAGACUGAGUAGAAUAUAAUGAAAGAGUAUGAUUAUUAAGAAUGAGAACUCAACAAUAAAGAAAAUACGAUAGUCAAAAGAAAGAAUAUAAAGAUCAUAAGCAAGAAAUUUGUUACGUAAUGAGCAAGAACAAAAGUUAAAAAGGAAUCAUCGACAAAGUUAGAUUAAGCCAUGGUUGUAUGCCUAUCGGCAUAUCCAAGUAUAUCCAAAAGUUGAUCGACAUCUAAUAUUUCAGAAGUAUGUACCGUUAGAGAUAUUGCUAAGAGUACUCGCAAAAAAUUUGGUCAAUAGUCUAGUGUUUCCCUUGAGGCUGUUAACUACAAGUGGGGGCAUCAUAGAAAAAUUGGAUACUCCAUUGGGUAUAUUUUCAAUAAUAGAAGUUGUCGAUUCUGUCAAAACUGGUUCUAUAGAAUGGCAUAAAUUACUGGUUAAUAAGGGCCAAUUCAAUGGAUUUCAAAAUCCAUCAUUUUCAUCCACAAUUCGAGCAAAUAACUUAUUUAGAGAUAAUAUUAGCAAAUUAAGGAAACUUGAAAGUUUAGAACAAAGAAUUGGAGAAGGUGUCAGUUAUGUUAACAAAAGAUUAUAUCAUACAUUAUUCUCUUCAAUAGCAAUGGAUGGUCAAGCGGUUCCAAUAGCAGUAUAAAUGGAUGACAUGAGCGAUUGUGUAACGAGCGUGGCUCCAUUAUUUAUUUUUUGGAGCUUCCCGGAUGCAGAUUUUGAUCAAUAUUUGUCUUAGUUUCUGACAGGAAGUAUAGCCAAUAAUGGAAGAACCAAAGAUAUUUGGUUAUGAUGGUUGCUAGCAACCUUAAAGGACAUGGCAUUUGAAUGGGACAACCGCCAACCAAUGGAUCAAUUUUCGAAUUAGAAAGUAUUGAAGAAUGUAUUUUUAAUCCAUUUUUGGCAUAUUGGUUUUGAAGACCACCUUGCAAAGAGAUUAAUGAAUUGUAAAAUGAUCCUGAGGGAGGCAAUGGAAUCGUACUAUGGCCAAAUGGUUGAUAUACUCAAUAAAAAGGUCGAAUCACCUAAUGUCAGAGGUAUUUAUCUUAUUCAUAUUAAUCAAUGGUUUGCACUUACUAGAGCUAAAAAUGUUUGUAAAGGAAGCUCAACAUGUUAUGGUAUCUGCAUCCCUUAAUAGAACCAAGGUUUGGGAGGAAUGCCAUUAUGAUCAGUUUUUAAAUGUGGGAGCCAUGAUGAUUCCAAUUCAAGGUAGAUAUCAAAAUCUAACUUAGAAUGAAUCAGUGGGUAGUUAUCCAUUGUUGUUAGAAACAUGGGCCAAUUACAGUGUCAAUAUUCAAGGGUCAGUUAAUGUCACCUCAUUGUAAGCUAUACCACCAAACGUGACAACGGUGUAUGCUCCAUAUUCUCUGUAUCAACAACAAGCAUUAACUACGAUAAAAAUAUCAAUAAUAGCAGCUCUAAAAGAUUUUAAUGAAACCUUAUUAUUGAACCUGAUGAAGAAAAUAGAAGAAAUGGCCAUCUAUAUGGCCAAGGAUAAGGAAAAGAGAUAAAAGCCUACCAAUACUAGGACCAAUGUAUGGUGUAGUAAUUGUAAGGGCUACGGUCAUUUGAUAACAAAAUGCCCUUCACCCUCACAAAUAAUGGAUCAAUGUACAUUUUGUUGAGGACAUCACUUAACAGCUAAUUAUUGGAAUUAGCAAAGGCAACAACAAUUCAAUAAUGAGACAAUGAUUCCACCAACUCAGUGAAACAUCAAUCAAGUUUAAAUGAAAAAUAUAUUUGGAUGGAAUGGAAAUCAAUUUAAUUGAUAAAAUCAAGCAUUUAAUAACUUUCAAAGUUUCAAUUUUAAUGAUGGAUCUGCAACGAAUUUCCAGAACUAUGAUAAGGAGCAGUAGAAGUAUCAGCAAUAUGCUCUAUUCAUGCCAUCAAAUCAAGUUCCCUCUGUACCUAUGGGACAACUAAAAUUAUUUUCUAACCCUACAUAGAACAAGCAUAGUAGGUAUAUACUGAUGGAGACACCCAAUAUGCCUUAUGGAGGUACAAGAAGACCACUUCAUUGUUACCAUUGUAGACAGAUUGGUCAUUAUGCUAGUGAAUGUCUCUAUCCCAAAGCCAGUGAGAAUUAUGCACCAAUUUGUGGGAAUUGCAAGCAAUCGGGGCAUUUGUAUCAGCAAUAUAAUGCUCUAUUGUCGUACUGUAAAUACUUACAGUAUGUAAAAAUUAGUUAAAACAUAUUAUAUGUUAAUAAAUUUAGAUGUGUAUUAGAAUGGCUAGUAGAUUAAAUUAAAAGGAAUUGGUAUAAGAAACUUUACUUUGUUUCUUUACUUGUUUUGAUUUUGACAUUAAAAAAAAAUAUAAGACCUAAAUGUUUAAUAUGAAGCCUUAGGAGAAGGUGGAAGCCUAAGGAUGAAAAUCUAAACUAAUAGGAAGCUAAUUGGGAGAAAUGAAAGCAAGGCCUGGUCGGAUGAAGGUAAGGAAUGGGGAACUUCAUCCCUAUUGAUCGAAUACCAUGUUCAAUGGGCUUUGAGGAGGCUAACUGCGAUCUUAACAAGGAUUUCAAUGACUUCAAAGAAGGAACUCGAGCUUUGGAGGCUAGGAUCAGUAAGUUUAGGAUUUUGGGUAUAAUUUGGGUGAAGAGUUUGUGUGAUUUCAAGUUUUUGUGAAGGAAAUAUAGGUAUUCAAAGUUAAGGUAUUAAUUUAAGACAUAUUAUUAUUCUUUUGAGGAUACGAGAAGUUAUACGAUAGUUUUUGAAGAUCUAAAGGUGUGGUUGGAACAACGAUUUUAAGGCCUACACUUUUUAUAAAAGAAUUAAUGAUUUUAGAGUUUAUAUGAAAGAGUUAUAAGGAGUUGAAGGCUACGCUUUCAAAUCAAAGGUAGUAAGUGAGUGGUUUUGUUUACAGUAAUGGUUGGAGCCAUAAUUUGAGUUUUUGGACAAAUUUUUGGCUCAAGCUUUUUUUGGAAAAUAUAAAAUUUUGUGUUAAAAAGCUAUACAUAUAAAUUUUGUAGAAUUUGAGCUUAUAUUUUGUGAGAUAUGAAGAAAAUUGCACGUGGAUAUAUAAAGAUAAGGGUUUGAAGUGACUAUUAGGGUUUUCAAGAUAUCUCAAGAUCCACAAUAAAUUUGUAGUUGAAAUUUGUUGUAGAAGUUAAUAAAAAUACAUCAGUAUCUCAUGUAAAAUUUGAGUUUGUUUGAAUGGUCAGAUUAGAAGAUAUGACGUGUUGAAGUUUGGAAAAAUUUCCACAUGAGGAUAUACAAGGUUUUAGAGGAUUUUAUCAUAUUUUGGGUAUUGUUGGUUACUUGAGACUUGUGUAUUUGGUAUAAUUGCUCAAAAGAAAAAAUUUAUAUAUAAACUUAGGGAUUUUCUUAUUUUAAAGCUUGAUUGAAUAAUUAGUGACAAUGAGAAGCUCAGCGUUUUCUUGAGGCAAAUUCUCUCUACCCCGACAACGUUCAAUUUCAAUAAUCAAGACGAGUAGAUACCAAAGCCAAGUAAAAAUUGAGGAGAUAAAUCAAAGUCCUCAAAAUUCUCCAGUAAAUCGAGUAGAAUGUGUCUAAGCUAUUAUUACUAGAAGUCAGCAAAAAAAAAAAAGACCAAUUCAACAUUUGAGUGAUCCUGAUGCGAAGGGCCAAUUUGAUCCAAUUACGGGGCCAUCCAAUCCAGCUCUUGUUAUGGGCUUCUUACCUAAUAUGAGACUUGAUUUGGUUGCGCAAUCCAAUGAUGUCUCAAUCAUGGAGGCUUUGAUUUUGUUCCAAGCAGUCUGGUUCUCUAUGUAGUUUCAAGAAACAUCCUAUCUGUUGAAAAAUCCUCUCAGGGGUGGAAAUUCUAAGAAUGCUCUGACUGUUGUUCUACUUCCAAGUCUAAGAUGAAAGAAUAUCUUACCUCACGGAGUUAAACUCAAACCAAUGAAAAGAAAGAGGGCCUUGGAAAUUAUCCUAAAUAUAAAAUCUUAUGACAUUUUGAAGGAUCUGGAUACUAUUUGGCCUUCUAUUUCUAUGAAGUAACUUCUAGCGGUUGCACAAGAGUGCCAUUCUACAUUGAAUUCAUUGUUAACACGGCAUAGGCAACGUAAUAAGAAAGUUUGUGAAGUCAGUUUGAACCUUGAUCCAGGUGCACCAACCAUCAAUUUUCAAUUGAUGGUAUUAUGAUCUCGGGUGUUCAAGUGGAUGGUGGUUCUAGCAUCAAUUUAAUAAACAUUCAUACAAUAGAUGCUUUAGAUUUGGAACACUUAGUAUCCACGAUAUUAUUAUUAUGAAUGGCAGAUCAUUGCCGGGUUAAAUUAAUGGAUAUUUUACGGAGUGUUCAAAUUAUAAUUGUUAAUAUUGCAUAUGAAAUCGACUAUAUCAUCUUUCGGUUAUAACAUUUGAUUUUAUUGUAUCCAAUCUUAUUAGAAUGACCUUGGUUUUAUCAAGUAAAGAUCAAUAAUGAUUAGGAUCAAAGUACUUUGAGAAUUGGCAUGGGCGGAGAUAAAAUGGUAUUACAAAUGUAUACAGUAUACUAUCACGGGGAGUCUCAAUUACCAGCGUUUGAAUUGGGGUUGGACGAUAAGUUUAGCUCCAAUAAUGAAAUAGUAGCACCAAUUACGAAGGUGCUCAUAGAGGCAACACAAUACCGUGGAGUGAUAUAUCAAUGUGGAGGUACGGAGGAGUACGUGAUAUAUCCAAUGGAUUCAAAAAACUUUGAUUAUGUUAAUAUUGAUUAGAUGACCAAAUAUAAUGUGCAUAAUAUCAGUGUUCGAGACAUAAGAUUCAGUACUUUGAACAUGUCAGACUUAUCAACUAAUUUUAAACUAGUACGGAGAUUGAAAAAUAAUAUUGCCGUUGUACCUUUAUGUCAAACUAUCAACUUGGCGACCAAAAAAAAUUCUUAGACAAUUAAGGUCUAUGAAGGUAUUAAGGAGUAGGAGUUGACCUAUUGGAUAGAAUUUUUUUUGUAUCAUAAAUCUAUUUUUGCUUGCACUUAUAAUAAUUUAAAAGGCAGCCUUGUUAAGAUCUAUGAAUAUCAUAUGAUUUUAGAGAAGAUCCCUAAUCCAGUAUGGCAGAGGCAACAUCGCCUUAAUCCUAAAUAUUUCUUCAUGGUGAAGGAAGAAUUAGACAAGCUUCUUGUGGUUGGUUUUGUUUACUUAAUACCAUAUAGUGAGUGGAUUUCUCUAAUUGUGAUGGUGCUGAAAAAGAAUAGAAAAAUCCAAAUUUGUCAGGAUUUUUGGAAACUUAAUGUAGCCACCAAAAAGAAUUACUUCCCAUUACCUUUCACAAAUAGUAUAUUGGAUGCCAUAGCAGAUCAUGAAUGUUAUUCUUUCCUAGAUGGAUUUUUUGGAUGUAAUCAAGUUCAAAUUGUAACAAAAGAUCAGCUCAAGAUGACCUUUAUUAUGAAUUGGGGCACAUUUGCCUAUCGCUUGAUGCCUUUUGGAUUAGAUAACACUCUACCACAUUUCAAAGAGUGAUGACUCGAGCCUUCCAAGACUAUCUCUGGAUAUUUAUGGAGAUCUUUUUAGAUGACUUUUGUGCAUUCAGUACAAAACAAAAUCAUCUUAAUUAUCUAGGAAAAUGUUUGAUUAAGUGUGCUAAGUUUGGAAUAUUAUUGAACUUGAAUAAUUAUCAAUUCAAUGUUCCAUCAAGAAAAUUAUUGGGACAUAUUGUCUCCAGUCAUGAUAUUGCUACAGAUCUUGAAGCAUAUAAUAAACUUAUUCACACUAGAGAUGGUCUCUGGUGUUCGAGAGUUCUUCGAUCAUGUCAGUUAUUAUCGAAAAUUUAUUCAUUUAUUUACAAUUAUUUGUCAAUCUUUGACAAACUUAUUGAAGAAACCUCCAUCAAAUGGGACUAGUUCCAUCUGGACCAUGGAGUGUAUUGUGGCCUUUAAAGCAUUGAAAUCAAAAUUGGUCUCUAGACUAAUAUUGGUAGCCCCUCGUUAGAUGGAGCCCUUUCAUAUAUACAUUGAUACAUGCAAUGUGGCUAUUGGAUUGGUGCUAAGUCAGAAGGAUGGCAAAGGUCUCGAUCAUCCUAUCUAUUAUGCUAAUUAGCAAUUAGUGGCUGUCAAAUGUAAUUAUACUAUUACUCAAAAAGAAGCGUUAGAUAUGAUAUACUCAGUUAAAAAAUUUCAGUACUAUUUGCUUGGGUAUCCGUUUGUAUUUUAUGUGAAUCAUGAUGCCCUCAAAUACAUUAUUAAUAAGUCUCAAUUAAAUAGGUACAUUGUUCGAUGGAUAUUACUCCUACAAGAAUUCAAUUUUACGAUUGUCAUACAAUCUAAGAAGAAACAUGCAAAUAUUGAUCAUUUAUCCUGGUUGUCUAAUAUUCUUGCCAACGAGCCUGUCCUUGAUGCUUUUCUCAAUGCCAAAUUAUUUGUGGUGGAUGUGAUUUCUUCCAAGUAUAAUAUAAUCAUUCAGUUUUUGACCUUCUACACCUUUCCACGGACUUUCAUUGACUAACUUAAGAAGCAACUCAUUCUGAAGAGUGCUCCGUAUAUGAUGAUUCUUGAUGCUUUACAUAAACAAGGCAAAGAUGGUAUUUUAAAACGUUGUAUCUUUCCAACUGAAGUACAAUUGAUACUAGAGGAUUGCCAUUUGGAUAGUUGUAGUGGUUAUUUUACGAAAGAUAUUCUUGCAAGGUUUUAAUGACCAGAUAUUAGUGGUCCAAAAUAUUUUUUGAUGUGCACCAAUUUAUUCAUUGUUGUGAUCCCUAUCAAUGAAUUAGUCGACCCACGGGUACUUCAGUGAUGCCGAUAGUACCAAUCUUGGCACAUACAUCAUUUGAAAAAUGGAGUAUUAAUUUUGUCAGUCCCAUCGCUUUAGCAUCAAAACUUGAGAAGAAGUAGUAUAUUUUAAUUGCCACGGACUAUGUAACAAAAUGGGCAGAGGCUAUUGCUACCCACAAUAAUAAUACUAAUAUAGUAGCCACUUUUCUAUACAAGAAUAUUAUAACUUGAUUUGGGUGUCUAAAGGAAUUGGUUAGAGAUUGCGGCACCCAUUUCAUAAAUGCUACCAUAGCAGCCUUGCCAAACACAUAUGAGAUCACGCAUCAAAAAAUCACUCCAUAUCGUCCUCAUACUAAUGGACAAAUAGAAAAGACCAAUGGAAUUUUGUGCAAAGUCUUGACUAAGACAAUUUUGGGGGUAGGUACUGAUUGGGAGACCAAACUCUUUGUGGCUUUGUAGGCAUAUUGUACCGCAUAUAAAGUAACUACCAAGUCUACCAAUUAGUUUAUGGGCAAGAGACAAUUUUAUCCAUUGAGUUAGAGGUUAAAAGUUUACGGCUUGCCUUGGAUGAACGACUCAGUGAUAAAGAGUCAAUACACUUUCGGUUGGCAAAAUUGGAGGAAUUGGAUGAAAUAUGGGCUAUAAUUCUUUUCAAUAUGGAAGCAAUUCAAAAAUGGAAGAAAAAUUACUAUGAUAGUAAACUGCGUCUAAAGAGUUUUAUGCCCAAUGAUUUGGUAUUACUGUAUAAUAGCCAGUUUAAUUAUUUUUUGGGUAAAUUUUAAGUUCACUGGUAUAGGCCGUAUUGCAUGGUUGAAGGUUUUUUCAAUGAUUUAUUUAAUUGAAGGAUUUCAUGGGCUUACGAUUCAGUAUCCACAUUAAUGGGAACCGAUUAUGGUUAUAUAAUACAUAAAACUCGAGACAUGUUUUCAUUUUUUUAGAGGAGGUGUCUUUGAAUGGACUCAUGGUAGACUUAAUUAUGGUAUAAGUGCAGUAGGAUAUAGAGGCAAUAGAAAGGAUAGUUAGUAAUUACUAAUGUGUUAGAUGGGACAUAGGUGAGAAACAGAUAGUAUGUAUAACAUGUUGUCAUUAUCACCAAGUACUAAGAGAAUAAGAAUGGGGCACUAGUUAGUGAUCAUUCUGUGGUAUCGUUUUGGGUUGUUUUUUUUAGAUUGUCAUUUCUUGUGUUUUUUGUAUAUUCAAGAGUAGUAGUUCUAGUUAAGAGCUUGACCGAGGGAGCAUCAUGGCAAUUGAAAGUGUAAAGCAAGCUACAAACAAAGAAGACAGUGGCCAAAAUGUGAGAGCUAAACGUCCAUCAAAACCGCCUUCUAUAAUAAUGGUUCAGCAAUAUGAGGCUUGGACAAAAGAAAAAGAACACAUCUUAUGAAUUGUCAAAAGAAAAUGGAACAAAUUGAUUCAGAAUUGCAAGACAUGGAAUUUAGAACGGGAGAAACUCAAAUGUCAGUUGCAAGCAAAAAAGGACAAGGUAAAGUUAUUGGGAAAAGUGAAAGCGGUAUUGAAUGACCAAUCUAGAUGUAAAACAAAGAAAUUGAGGUCUAAAAUCAAAGUUUUACAAGUUGAGGUGCCAAAUUGAUGGAAGGGUUAAUUGUGAGGAGUUAGUCACAAGUGUCGAUUGAAAAUAUCUUAAAAUAGAUGAGUCAGCAAUAACAUUAGCUGGUUUUCUAGGAUGCCCAGAUCUUGAAAUUAGAGGCUAAAGUCCGUGAAUUGAGAGAAUAUAAUGAAGAUCUCUCAGCCCAGUUGACAAAGGAGUUGAUGGAAGGAUUGGAAGAGGAGGAAGAUUUGCAAUUAGAAUUAGAAUUGAUGAAACCAAUAACAAAUAAUACAGCAAUUGAUCAAUUAGGAGGGCCAAAGAGGAUAAUAAUUUUAUAGAGUUUUAUUAAGUAGUUUUUAGAUAGGUAUCAAUUGUGUGUUUGUGAAGAUGCUGCACAGAUAGGAGUGGGGCUAUGUAGAAUCAAUAUUAAUUUGUUUUUGAAUUAUAUUGGUAAAAUAUACUAAUAGUCCAUAGAAUAGGCAAUUUAAGAGGAUGGAUGAUUAAUUUAGUUAUUAAACGUGAUUAAUUAGAGAAUUAUGGUUAGAAUCUAGAAAAUCAGAGGAAAUUAUAAAGGAGUUGUAGAAGUUAGUUUAAGGACCAGAUUGUGCUAGUCAUGAGCGAAGGUAAGCUUGGUGCUACUUCUUUCUUUGCUUAUUUCUUGGAUUUUGUUUUCUUUGUAAAAAAAGAGUUAUAGAUAGUUUCUCAAAAAUGUGAAGUAAUAUUUUGGAAUGAAAAGAGAUUUGAUAUUGUCAAAAAAAGAAUUUGAUUUAUUGAAUGUGGAGUUCUACAGUGGUGAAUUAAAAGAAAAUAAUUAGAAAUAUGUGUGAAGAAUAGAUUUGAAUGGAAGGAUUAUAAUACAUUAAGUAUUGAGAAUUGAGAGUGAUUCAUUAGAAGGAGUCUGUAGAGUUUGGAAUUCUGUGAAGAAGUGUAUUGAGAAGGAUAGUUAGUAGUGAAGGAUUCUAAUGUUUGGAUUAUAGAAUGAUUAUGUACUAUCUUUUAGGAUAAUGCGGGCUUACACAUUGUUAUUAUCAAUAAUGGUAGAGUACUAUUAGGAAGUGGAAAACAUUGUGGUGUUCCUUGGUAUUUUCAGUGGUUCAAAAUAUGGUUAAUUGUAUGAUCUUAAGAAGUAAAACUCAUGCGCUUAGUCUUUCCUUGCAUUAGAAUCUCCUUCUACAGAUUUAUUCUGAAAGAAAUUUGUAGAAUAAGUAAAACAAUAAUUACAAAAAUCCACGACAAAGAGCUUCUUGCAAUUGUAGAUUUAUUUUGAGAAUGGUGUCAUCAUCUAGAAGGUACUUCUAACAAAAUCACCGUAUAUAUGAAUCACAAGAAUCUCGAGUAUAUCAUGUCAAUACAUAUUUUAAAUUAUUGCCAAGUCCAUUGGAGCAUGUCUUUAUCAAGAUUUGAUUUCAAGAUCACAUAUCGACUCAAAAAACAACAAGGUUUGUUAGACGCCCUUUCUAAACAUUCUUAUUUUGUACCAAAAGAAGGAGAUGCAUCUUUUGAUUAGCAAAGAACAAUCUCUUGAAGCUAGAGCAUUUUCAUCUUCGAGUAAUGAAAUCAACAUUGAAUGUUGAUUCGACCUUUAUAAAAUAAAUCCAAUCAAGUAUGUCUUCUGAUUCUCUUGUUUUGAAUAUUAAGAAUCCUUCUUCUAAGUCCCAGGAUACUUCUAAGUUUGAAUUCAAAAAUAACCUACUCUAUUUUGAAGGUCAAUUAUAUGUUCCAAAAGGAGAAGUACGAUUACAUUUUUGUGAUGUGGUUUGGCUACUAUAUGAAAAAAAUAUAAUUAUGUACUUAAUAUAUAAUUCAUUAAGUAACAUGGUGAGAGCCAUGUUAGUAGAUUUUAGUUGAUUGUAGAAUAUAAUUUGAUUAUUAUCUUAACAAGAGGUUGUUUAAAAAGAUUACUAUAGAAUUUAUACAACUUUAAUUUCUUUUGUGAUAGUCGCUUUUAAGAUUGGUUUUGGUUGAAAGUAACUUCUAAAUAUUUAGAGUCACCUUUGUUAGACAUUGGUGACCUUUGAAAACUUAUAUUGGUUCUUUUAUUUGGUGUUUAGAGUAUAAAUUAUAUAAAUCUUAUAAAAAAAAGGAUUGAAGAAGGAUUUUGGUAGCAAAGGGAGUAACUAGGGCACCAAUAUAGAUGAAUGGAGAUGGAUGAUGAAAAUCUACAUUCCUAUUGGCCAAAAAUCAUGACUAAUGGGCUUUGAGAAGGCUGCCUGAGGCCAUAUUAGAGAUUAGGGUUAGUUUGUCGAGGCCAUUUGAGCUUUGAAGGAUAGGGUCAGCAAGUUUAGAUUUUUGGCUAUGGUUUUGGUACAAAUCUUGUAUGAUUUGGAGUUUAUAUGAAGGAAAUAUAGGCACUCAAAGUUAAGGUAUUAAUUUGGGAGCUACUAUCACUCUUUUUGACAUAACUCACUGAUACAGAUGGCAAUUAUAGAUCGGCGACUACGAUUCCAAAGACCACUUUUGCGGCUAUACUUUUUGCAUACUAUUUGCUGGAUUUUAAGUUGGGGUAAAGGAGUUAUAAGAUUUUGAAGUCAGUGCAUGCAAUCUAAGGGUGGUAAGUUAUCCAAUUUACUAGUGGUUGUGUCUUGAGCUAUAUCUUGGGAAUUUGAAAAGGUUUUGGCUCAAAAUUUUAGAAAAUGUGAAAUUUUAUGUAAGUAAACUUUGUACAUAAGUUUGAUGACAUUUGAGUAUUGGAUUCUUAAUAUAUUAAAAAAAUAGUGCUCAGGUGCUUGUAAAUUAGGAUUUAGAGCAUAUGCUAGUGUUUCUUAGAUGCCAAAAGUUUAGGAGUGAAUUUACAAUUAGCUAUUUUUGUUGUAAAAUUGAAGGGUUUUUUCUACCUAUUCUAUAAAUUUGAGACAAGCUAAAUAGCUAGAUCAAGAAUUAUGAAUUUUUAAAGUUCAGAAAGAAAAAACCUUUUGUGGAAAAAAUAUGUUUUGAAGGGAUUCUGUUAUAUUUUGAGUUUUAUGCAAAUCAAAGGAGUUUUGAAGCUAAGACAAGAUUCAUAUAAAGGUUUUAGCUAAACUCUCUACAACUAGAUACCUAAUGUAUUCCCAAAUAUCAAAUCACGCUGUACGACAACGUGUUCUUCAAGCAUGUCAUAACUUUUCAAUAGCAAGAUAUUUUGAAUACAAUAAGACUUUGGAGCUUAUAUCUAGAGAUUUUUGGAAGCCACAAAUGUGAAAAGAUGUGAAAUACUUUGUUCAUUCAUGUGAUAUUUGUUCAAGAUCAAGAACUCCUCCUCAUCAAGCUUAUAGACUUCAUCAACCAUUAUCCAUUCCAAAACAACAAUGAUCUUCAAUUUCUAUAGAUUUCAUCAUGGAUUAUUCAAUCUUAGAUUUUUAUGACUCUAUAUUCGUGAUAGUAGAUUGUUUUACUAAGAUGGCAUAUUUUUUACCAUGUAUAAAAUCUAUUAUAUGUAAAGAAAUAGCUAAGCUAUUUCUUAACAACAUCUAUUGCUAUCAUGGAUUAUCCAAAGAUAUUAUAUUGAAUAAGAAAACUCAAUUUGUAUUAAGAUUUUGGUGGACUCUUUUUAAGUUUCUAAAAGUGGAUAUAAAACUAUCUUCGACAUUCCAUCUUCAAACUGAUAGACAAACGAAGUGUAUUAAUCAAGUUUUAGAGCAGUAUUUAAGAUGUACCAUUAACUACCAACAAGAUGAUUGGACAACUCUUUUGCCAUUGGCAGAGUUUGCUUACAAUAACAGAAUAUAUUCUUCUAUAAAAAAAACAUCUUUCUUUUCCAAUUAUGGUUAUCAUCUAUGACUUGAUACUUUUGACUUUUUAAAAGCUGAUAAUCUUACGGUGAAAGAUUUGGUAAAUCAUUUAUCAAAGCUACAUGCAACAAUAAAAGCGCAGUUAAAAGAAGCUCAAGAACAACAAAAGAUCAAUGUAGAUGUCUAUCAAAAGGAAAAACUACCAUUCUAUGCGGGUGAUAAGGUAUGGUUACUUUGUCACAAUAUCAAGACCACUCGUAUUUGUGAUAAGUUGGACUAUCAAAGACUUGGACCAAUUUCUAUUUCUAUACAAAUCAAUCCAGUUGCAUAUCGUUUACACCUAUCGGAGUCAAUAAAAAUCCAUCUAGUAUUCCACGUGUCUCUUCUUGAAUCAUACAAGACAAUGGACAUAUCAAGAAGAAGACAAGCUCUACCUCCUCCCAUAGAAGUGGACAAUAAUGAAGAGUUUGAAGUGGAAGAAGUCUUAGAUUCAAGGUGACACCGAAAUAAAUUAGAAUAUCUUGUUCAUUGACACGGAUAUGAUAUUAGUGAACGCACAUGGCAGCGAGUAAAGAAUCUUACAAAUGCAGCAAAGGCGAUGGAGGCUUUUCAUCGAUGACAUCCAUCAAAAUCAAGAUGAAAACCUUCUCUAUAAAAGAAAAAAGAUCUAGGCAAGAUAACAUUCUACUUUCAAUCCUUAUUUGUAGCUUCUUUAUAGUUGUGAUGCUUAAGAGAUGGAGAACCAACAACCAGUGGAUUCAACUCAAGAGUCUUGAUUUGUUGACUUGUCGAACGAAACAUUGUGAUUGUGAUAACCUUCAAGAUGAUGCAAUCAAGAUGAAGAUCCUCAAGAAUAACAUAUUUUUCCUCGAAUUGAUGGCAAAAUACAAUGCGUUUGAUAUCACGACCUUAGAAGAGACUCCCAAUGUUUGGUAAUUUCAUUAGAGGUAUGAACAACUCCCAACUGUUUUUUAAAUAUUUUAUUUGAAGAAAGUUAUGAAGGCAUCAACAAUGAUCUGAUAACUGGGUGGUCUUCUCGCCCUGAUAUAGGAUACUAUCAAUGGUUGAGAGGCCCUAUCAACUAUCUUCAAAGAGAAUAAAAAUCUAAAUAUGUAGUAAAUAUAAUUUGUUGCAUCAUACAUUUCCUCAAUAUAUGAUGACCACUCCUUGUGGAACUCGUCCCUAGAAGGAGUGGUAAUGUCAUGGACAUAUACAUGUAAGCGAGUAAUUACAUGUAUAAAUAAAUAGAAGUAAGUAGAAAUAAAUAAAAAUAAAUUAAUUCUAUAAUAUCUUCUACGAAAGCUUUUUAGAAGCUUUCUAAAAAUUGCUUUGACUUUAUAGGUAUCUUUAAUUGACUUUUUGGAUAAGAAAUAUAAUAAACAAGUUGGCCAUGUGCCACACAUGUUGUUGGAUUGAAGACCAAGCUAACUAUGUGGCCCACACAUAAAAAAAGUUGCCUUGUAAGUCAAGAUAUGUGUCCUACUGUUAGGGAUAUAGUCCUUAGAGCCUUCUAGAGACAAGUUUCUAGAACCUUCUAGAAGCAAGUCUCUGGAACCUUCUAGAAGCUUCUUAGUUGGUAGAAGAUAUUAGGGACAUAGUCCUUAGAACCUUCUAGAAGCAAGUCUCUGGAACCUUCUAGAAGCUUCCUAGUUGGUAGAAGUUGCUUGAAAAGCUUCCUAAAUAAGAGUAUAUAUUGGAAUCGAGGCUGAAGAGUUCUUCAGUCUUGACAACACAUCUCUUGGAGCUCUAGCUCACCUCUUUGGUGUUAUUUUUGUAUUCAUUUGAUUAAUCUAGUUCUUGCGUGUUCUUCUUGAACUUCUUAUUAGAUCUCAAGUCUGUAUUUUUGUGUCCGUGACAAUUUAUCGAGACUUCACUCACCUCAAAUAUAAGAGCUAGUUUCUUCCUCGUUAGAGUGCGGAUUACCCCUCUGCUUGGAAGUGUACUAGCAUUUUAGAGGUUGCGGAUUACCCUCCUCUAAACUGAUACUUCUUUUGUUAUAAUAUUGGAGUCUUAUUCUUCUUGGAGAGAGUGGAUUACCCCUUUUCUUGAAGUUCUUAAGGCAUUUUAGAGGUUGCGGAGUACCCUCCUCUAAACCAAUAUUGUCUUCUUGUAGAGUCAUUUCUGUCCUUCUCUUAGAAUGGCCGGAGGCCAAGACAUUAGUAUGAUGGAAAGUUCGGAGUCCAAGUUGGAUGCUAUCAUGAAUGCCCUCGCUACGUUAUCGCAAAGAACUGUAGAGAUUGAAGGAGUUGUGGUAAGGCUUCAUAAUGAUAGAGCAUGUGGGAUGGCACAAUCUAGGUUACAUCAGCCUCAUACUUCUACACUUGGAGAAACAACUUUGCCUCACGUUUGACAAGCACCACUGGUUCUACAACAUAAUGAGUCGCGAGUUAGCCUUUCGGACAAGUUUGAUGGUAUGCAUUCCAAGUUUCGAGGAUUCGUCAUUCAAAUCAAGUUGAUAACAAUUUUACAGCCAGAACGCUAUCCAACAGAGGAGUCACGUGUUGGGCUUGUUGGAACCUUACUUACAGGGCAAGCUCUAUCAUAAUUUGCUCCUUUGUUUGAGAAACGAUCGUCCAUACUAAACAACUUUGAAAUCUUUUUGGAGGCGUUUACGGAAGCAUUUGGUAAACAUGACAAGGUUCGAUGGGCUACAACAAAGAUCCGAUCACUAUGACAAGGGAUGUGCUCUACAUCAGUCUAUGCAUCGGACUUCACGCAAUUAGCAUACGACAUCAAUUGGAAUGAAGAAGCGUUGAUGAGUCAAUUCUAUUGGGAUUUAAAAGACAAUGUGAAGGAUUUGCUGUUAACUCUUCUUGAUCUGCAAACGCUCAACGAAGCUAUUAGUCAAGCUGUAAAGUACAAUAAUCGCCUAUUCCAACGCCGCCAAGACCAAUGUUCAAGGCAACAUACGGUUCACCACGUCCCAAUUAUGUGGGCAAGCAGCAUGAAUUCAUAUUCAGAAGUAGAAGACAUGCAAAUUGAUGUAGCUAGUGUCAAAUCCCUUACUCUAGAAGAAAAAAAGCGGUGCAUGGAGGAAGGUCUAUGCUUGUAUUGCGGUGAAGAAGGCCACAAAGUUAGAAACUAUUUUAAGAAGCAAAAUCCACGUAUUGUCAGGACUAAGGGCACAUUUGUUCAAGAAAACGAAGAUGCCCAGCCACAAUAGGAACCGUGCGACUGGACAAUGAAAUAUCGCAACAACAACUAGGUUCUUUUCUUUCCGCUCAACGUGCCCUUUGCUUUACAAUCCUUUUGCUUAUUAGUCCUCAAAAACUGAGAACCUUAGCAUUAUUAGAUUCAGGAGCAUCUGCUUGUUUCUUAGACGAAGAAUUUGCGAAGCGUCAUAAGAUCCUUUUAGUACAAAAAUCCAAACUUGUUCACGUCGAGGUCAUAGAUGGACGACUUUUAUUGUCUGGUAGUGUCAUCUAUGAAUUAGAAUAAAGAAAUCUUUAUUCAUUGGAGCAAGAGCGUUUAUAAGAUCAUCUAAGGAAGGUACACUAUUUGUCAUUUAUGUGGCUCCAACUAUCGGGGAGAAGAUCUCGACAGCAAGUAUACCUGAGCAAUAUAAGGAUUUUAAAGACGUGUUUUAAAAGAAGAAUGCCGACAUGCUACCGAAACACCAACCAUAUGAUUGCGCCAUAGAUUUAUAGGAAGAAGCACAACCACUUUUUGGCCCAAUCUACAAUCUAUCGCACAUGGAGUUGGCAGAAUUGCGAAAGUACAUCGAUGAGAAUCUAGCCAAGAACUUCAUCCGUCAUUCAAAAUCGUCAGCUGGAGUACCCAUCUUAUUUGUGAAGAAGAAAGAUGGUUCGUUGCGGAUGUGCAUGGACUAUCGAGGCCUCAACAAGGUAACAAAGAAGAAUCAUUGUCCGUUACCCUUGAUUUCUGGUCUCUUAGAACAUCUUGGACAUGCAAGGAUCUUUACAAAAAUUGAUCUAAGAGGAGCUUACAACCUCGUAAAAAUCAACGAAAGAGAUGAAGGGAAGACAGCGUUUCGUAUAAGGUAUGGCCAUUUUGAGUAUAAUGUCAUGCCCUUUGGUCUUACCAAUGCUCCAGCGGUCUUUCAACAUAUGAUGAAUGACAUUUUCCGACAGCACCUUGACAAUUUUGUUGUCAUUUAUUUGGAUGAUAUUUUGAUAUUCUCCAAUAACGAGGAAGAGCAUGAAAAGCACGUUCGUUUGGUCUUAGAGAAACUACGCAAGCAAGGACUAUAUGCCAAGUUGGAGAAGUAUUUAUUUCACCAAAUAGAGAUGGAGUUUCUGGGAUUCGUUGCGACUACGAAAGGCUUGAAGAUGGACCCCAAGAAGGUGGAAGCAAUUGUAUCUAGGGAGGUUCUGAAGAUGAUUAGAGACGUACAAUGCUUUCUUGAUUUUGCCAACUUCUAUCGGAACUUCAUCAAGAAUUACUCUCAAGUUGCUGCUCCUCUCACUCGGUUGACAUGCAAGGAUAAGCUGGAAUGGGAACCUCUAGCAGAGAAGGCAUUUCAAGACCUGAAGAUCGCAUUUAUUAUGGCUCCAAUCUUGGUACAUCCAGACUUUAUAAAGGCCUUUUAUUUGAAAAUUGAUGCUUCGGAUUUAGCUUUGGGAGCUGUACUUUCACAAAUGGGAGAAGACAAGAAGCUCCAUCCAAUUGCAUUCUAUUCUCGAAAGUUCUCUGCUGCUGAAAUCAAUUAUGAGAUCCACAAUAAGGAACUUUUUGCUAUAGUGGAUUCUUUCCAAGAAUGGCGUCACUUUCUUGAAGGAGCUGUACACCUAGUGAUCAUAUACACAGAUCACAAGAAUUUGGAGUAUUUCAUGUCGACUUCAGUUUUAAAUCGACGUCAAGCUCAGUGGAGUAUGUUACUAUCUAGGUUCGAUUUUGUUAUCACUUAUCGACUUGGAAAGUAGUAAGGACUAUCUAAUGCCUUAUCGAAGAGAUCGUAUCUUGUAUCAAAGGCUGAAGAAGCAAAGUUUGAUCAACAAUAUAUGACAUUGUUGAAGCCAGAGCAAUUUUGGCUUUGUGCUACUAUUGUGUCAAUUGAUGCUGGCUUCCUAAAUCAAGUACAUGUCGUGACUAUUGAAGAUUCAAUAGCCAUUGAUAUUAAGCAGUGUGCCAAUGAUGACAAGUUCAAGGUGGAGGAAGAUCUUUUAUACUUUGAGGAGCGGUUGUAUAUCCCAAAAAGACCAGCACAACUCCGAGUUCUUCAAUCUCACCAUGAUUUUUCAACUGUGGGAUAUUUUGGAUUCAAUAAGAUAUUAGAGCUUAUUUCUCGAGAUUUUUGGUGGCCCCAAAUGUAGAAGGAUGUGAAAGAUUUUGUCCUCUCCUACGACAUCUGUUCAAAAUCCAAGAAUCCUCGAUAUCGCCUUUAUGGACUCCUACAACCAUUGUCGAUUUUACGUCGACCAUGGUCUUCUAUUUCCAUGGACUUCAUCACGGACCUGCCUUCAUCGAACUCAUUUGACAGCAUCGUUGUCGUGGUAGAUCGGCUUACAAAGAUGGCACACUUUAUCCCUUGUAAGAAGACAUCAUCCAGUGAAGUCACAACAAGGUUCUUUCUCGAUAAUGUGUAUCGAUAUCAUGGACUAUUAGAUGAUAUCAUAUCAGAUCGAGGAACCCAAUUCGUAUCAAAGUUUUGGAGAUCUCUCUUUGAGAUACUAAAGGUGGAUAUCAAGCUUUCUUUGACUUUUCAUCCUCAAACUGAUGGCCAAACGGAACGGGUGAACUAAGUCUUAGAACAAUACUUAUGAUGCAGCAUCAACUAUCAAUAAGAUGAUUGGACCACAUAUCUGCUGCUAGCCGAGUUUGCAUAUAACAACACCUUCCAUGCGUCAACUCAAUAUACACCAUUCUUUUCCAACUAUGGGUAUCAUUCGAAGCUUGAUUUAUUGAGUCUAUCAAUAAAUAACAAUCCAGCAACUGAAGGAUUUGUGAAUCAACUAUCAGAGCUUCAAAAUAUGUUGAAGCUUCAAUUUCAAUCCGCUCAAGAAUCCUACAAGGCAUCUGCAGAUAGAUUUCAAAAUCAAGCACCUACUUUUAAAAUUGGAGAUAAAGCAUGGCUUCUUUGACAAAAUAUCAAGACCAAGCGACCAUGUGAUAAGUUGGACUAUCAAAGAUUGGGACCAUUUAUCAUCCAGAAGCAAAUCAAUCCAAUGGCAUACCGUUUAGAAUUACCGGCUUCUAUGAAGGUACAUCCAAUCUUUCAUGUUUCUCUGUUAGAGCCUUAUCAAGAGUCGUCUUUUUUUGGAAGAGUGCAAUGUCUGCCACCUCGUAUUGAGAUCGAGAACCACAAGGAAUAUGAGGUUGAAAAGGUGCUGGAUUCACGACAAAGGUGGGACAAGUUAGAGUAUCUUGUUCAUUGGUGCGGCUACGACAUUAAUGAGCAAACGUGAGAGCCAGCUGAAAAUCUUGCCAAUGCACUGCAAAAGGUACAUGAGUUUUAUCAACAACAUCCUCAUAAACCUAAGCCGGUUCGACGAUAGCUUCUUUCUAAAACUUGCUCACCGAAGAAUAUAAGAAAGAAAAAGAGCACCACCAAAAUUCACAGUUGAUGUAGUUAUUUUCUCUAAGAUAAAGUAGAAUUUUUUCAGUAGCCAUAGUUUGGUCUUCUGAUAUGGAUAGCCAAGAGAUAGAUACUAUGCCAGUCAGAUUAUCUCAACCGACUAGCUCACGAAGGCGACCCCGAGAUGAAGAACCGCCUAUACCACGAUGACGACGGAGGAUAUCGAGUAACUGAUCACUGGUGAUUGUAUUUGAGUUCAAGGCUACUUACAAUGGUUAGCCAGAAGGCAUAUUUAUAGGACAAUUUCACAAUGAGGACACGGAAGUUCAUACUUGGUCUAAAGUUGAAGAAGUGGGCCACUACCGUUGGCUUCAAGGACCGAUGAACCACUAGCCUCGUGAACAACAGUUGGAAUUCAUAGCAGACGUUAUGCGACAAAUCUUCAUUUUCUUGCAUUGGUACUGAUUAACAAUAAUAUUGCUUCUCACAGACCUCGAAGUUAAAAGAAGAGGUGAUGUUAGAGACAUAGUCCUUAGAAACUUCUAGAGAUAAGUUUCUAGAACCUUCUAGAAGCAAGUCUCUGGAACCUUCUAGAAGCUUCUUAGUUGAUAGAAGAUGUUAGGGACUUAGUCCUUAGAACCUUCUAGAAGUAAGUCUCUGGAACCUUCUAGAAGCUUCUUAGUUGAUAGAAGAUAUUAGGGACAUAGUCCUUAGAACCUUUUAGAGACAAGUUUCUAGAACCUUCUAGAAACAAGUCUCUGGAACCUUCUAGAAGCUUCGUAGUUAGUAGAAGUUAUUUGAGAAGCUUCCUAAAUAGGAGUUUAUAUUGGAAUCGAGGUUGAAGAGUUCUUCAGUCUCGACAACACAUCUCUUGGAGCUCUAGCUCACCUCUCUAGUGUUGUUCUUGUAUUCAUCUGAUUAAUCUAGUUCUUGCCACUUCUUCUUGAACUUCUUGUUAGAUCUCGAGUCUGUAUUUCUGUGUCCGUGACACCUACAAAGUCAACAUAUAUUAGAGGUUCUAUAAAAUAUCGCCAUGUAGUCCCUAGUUAGAUAUUAUAUAUAGAGAGAAGAGUGAAGCCUCCUUCACUCUUAUAAACUCUUUUUUUGCUUCUAGUCCAGUUUCAAGAGUUCUAAGUUUCCUUGUCUUUGGGCAAUAGGUGUCACAGACAUAUGCAUCUAAGCCAAUAAUUACAUAUAUAAAUAGGUAGAAAUAAGUAAAAGUAGAUAAAAGUAAAUUAAAUCUAUAGUAUUUGAUAUGGAAGCUUCUUAGAAGCUUUAUAGAUACUACUUUGACUUUAUAGGUAUCUUUAAUUAACUUUUAGGAAUGAAAAACGUAGUGAACAAGUUGGCCAUAUGCCACACAUAUUAUUAGCUUGAAGACCAAACUAAUUAUGUGGCCCAUACGUAAAAAAACUUGCCUUGUAAGUCAAGGCAUGUGUCCUAUAAAGUCAACCUAUAUUGGAGGUUCUAUAGAAUGUCGCCACGUAGCCCUUAUUAAGAUAGUAUAUAUAGAGAUAAGAGUGAAGCCUUCUUCACUCUUGUCAACUUCUUUCUUACUUUAAAUCUAGUUUCAAGGAUCCCUAGUAUUUUUGGCUUUUGGCAAUAGCCAUUCCAAUUUCUUUCUUAAUACACAUAUGAAGUUAUUUCUAUUUUGUUAUCUUUCGUUGAAAAAAGUCUCACUUGUUUAUUUAUCUUUAUCAUAUUCUUGUCCUUGACAGAUUGAUAAGAGUAUACUUACAAUAUCAAAGCUUUGUCUAAUCUUAAUUAAGAAAAGAUUACCCCUUUUUCUUAAUAAGACACAAGUAUAUUAGAACUUACGGAUUACCCUCUUCUAAACUGAUAUUGUCGUUAGUAUUUUCUUUAUUCUCAAGUCUUCUCUUCUAUUUGUCUUGAGUGAUAUUAGACAUCUUCUCUUUUCUAAGUGUUAUCAUGGCAGAACUUGCUGAAAUGAAGAGUGCAAUGGCACAAAUACAAGAGCAAUUGAGGGAAUUAAUGUUUGCGAUGCAUCAACUCAAUUUACCACCAUAAGAAGCAAUAAGAUUAACAGGAAGUGAAGAUAUAGAAAUGAUUGGAGCUACUUCAAGAUCUGCACCAAAUUAUGUCCCUUCUCCUAUGGUGGAACGUCCUUCUAGUGUUAGAGAACCAAGAAUUAUCCUACCCGAGAAGUUUGAUGGUACCAGAUCUAAGUUUCAAAGAUUUAUCAAUCAAGUGUAACUUGUGAUUGAACUUCAAUCUCAAAGCUAUCCAACUCCAAGAUCACAAGUUAGAUUGAUUAGUAUGCUUCUUUCAAAUUCAAUGCUAUCAUGGUUUUCAUCUUUUUUUGAACGAGAAGAUCUAAUAUUGGAUAAUCUAGAGAUUUUUCUGGUAGAGUUUUCAUCCAUGUAUGGAGAAAAUGAUGAAAUUCAUGUUGCAACCAAUAAGAUCUAUAUUUUACGACAAAAUAAUCGAUUAGUAACGUUGUAUGCUUCACAAUUUCAUCAACUUGUAAAUGAUAUCAAGUGGGAUGAUGCCGCACUUAUUAGCCAAUUUCUCUACAGAUUAUAAUAUGAAGUAAAAAAAUUAAUGCUCAACUCACCUGAUCCUCAAACAUUGAGUCAAGCAAUUCACUUUGCUAUCAAGUGCAACAAUCGCUUUUUUGAAUUUCAAUCUGAGAACCGUACAAGUAGACCUCAACAUAACUAUAAUUCAAUAGCAAUACCAAUAUCUCUUUAAUACAUACAUUUGGAAGUAGAGGAUAUGUAAAUUGAUGCGGUACGUUUCAAACCUCUUACUAAGCAAGAAAAGUCUCGUUGUCGUCAGGAAGGAUAGUGCUUAUAUUGUUAAGAACCUAAGCACACUGCUCAACAAUGCUCAAAGAAGCGAUGUAACCAUAAAAUGAGGAGUAUGGCGAUCAAAAGAGAUAGCAUGUUGGAAAACGAGUUUAUCUAGCUACAAUAGGGACCGUGCGACUAGAACCUUAUACAACACCUAGUCAAGGUCCUAUCUUCUCUUCAGAAUCCUCUCCAUGUUUUAUAAUAAAUAUUAUUCUAGGACCUAAACAUCUCGAAGCCUCUACCUUGCUAGAUUCAAGAGCCUCAGCAUGUUUCUUAGAUGAAAAAUUUACUAAAAGAUAUAGCAUAUUUUUUAAAAAGAAAACUAAAUCUUUUCAUAUAAAAAUCAUAGAUGGUGGUGCGUUAACUUUAGGAGAUGUUACUCAUGAAAUCCUUCCUAUAGAAAUAGCAACUAAUGGUCAUAGUAGCUUUGUAAUAUUUAAUAUCAUUAGAUUUCUUUCUAAUCCAAUCAUUUGAGGUUUAUCAUGGCUAGAAAAAUAUAAUCCUAAAAUAGAUUGGACUUCUCAUAGUCUUAACUUUUCUGAAAGUAUAACUAAGAGUGUAGUUAAUCAAGUAAAAAGUCAUAAGUCUAGUAUAAUUAAACCUAAAUUUGUAGGUACAAGUGCUUUCUUGCAUGCUUCAAAAGAAGGAUCAUCUUGUGUCAUUUAUGCCAUACCUGUUUCUAUUCGUGGAAAGACUUCAAGUAGCAUUCCAAGCCAAUAUCAAGAUUUUCAAAAUGUAUUUGAAAAAAAGAAUGCAGAUACUCUUCCAAAAUAUCGUUCCUAUGACUGCUUAAUUGAUCUUCAAGAAGGAGCACAACUACCAUUUGGACCAAUUUCCAAUUUAUCUCAAAAUGAGUUGGCUGUACUCAAAGAGUAUAUUGAAGAGAAUUUGGCCAAGAACUUCAUAUGCCAUUCCAAAUGUCUAGCAGAAGCUCCAGUUUUAUUUGUAAAGAAAAAAGAUCGAUCAUUGAGGAUGUGUGUUGAUUAUCAAGGACUCAACAAAACAACUAUCAAAAAUAGGUACCCGCUAUCUUUGAUAUCUGGACUUCUUGAUCAGUUGAAUCAAGCUAGAAUCUAUACAAAAAUAGAUCUACAGAGAGCAUACAAUUUGGUACGCAUCAAAGAAAGAGAUGAAUGAAACACUACAUUUCAAAUAAAUUAUGAAUAUUUUGAAUACAACGUUGUAGAAUAGAUAUUAAUUUAUUUUUGAAAUAUAUUGGUAAAAUAUAUUAAUAGUCCAUAUAAUAGGAAAUUCAGGAGGACGGAUGAGUGAUUUAAUUAUUUAAAGAAGUUAAUUACAGAAUUACGAUUAGAAUCUGGAUAAUUAGGGGAAAGUAUAUAGGAGUUGUAGAAGUUAAUUAAGGUGCCAUCAUUGUGAUAGUUAUGAGCCGGGGUAAGUUUGGUGCUACUUCUUUUCUUUUGUUUGUUAUUUUCUUUGAAUAAGAGGAUUGAAAGUUUCAAAAUAUUGUGAAGUGAAUUAUGGAAUGGAAAUAUGAUUGGUAUUAUUUGAAAAGAAGAAAGAUUGAAUGCUGAAAUCUAAUUGUAGUUCAGCAGAGAGAAUGAGUCUGUGUUUGUGUGAAACACCGUAAUGUGAAUAGCAGUUCUGUGUGAAGAAUUCCAGUGAUUAGAAUGAAGGUAAUUGUAUGCUGAAAGCUGUGAGGGCACAGCAUUACAGUUGGAGAUUAUGAGGGUAAAUAUAUUGGUAGAAAUAGCAGUUAUUGGUAUGAUUGAAUUGUUGUAAGGAAGAGAUCGAUAAGGUGAAGGAGGAGAUUAUAGUUUCCUUGUGUGUUCAGAUAUUAGAAAUAGAGACAAUACAUUCAGGAGGUAAUUGAUUGUGUGAUCCUAAUGUGAAAGCUUAAGAAACUAGUCAUUCUCCAUGUUCGAAUCCCCUAUACAGGUUUAUUUCCAUUAGAUUAAUUUGAAAUAAGUAAAACGAGCAAUCACAUUUUGGUGCUCGUGUCGAGGAGUGAUAAUAGCUGUGAGUAUUAGGAAUUAAUUACCAAACAUGUGAAAAAAUUGGCAAUAGAAGACGAUUUCAGUAGUGUUUGAAGUAAGAGUAUAGUUAUUAAGAAUGAGAAUUUAACAGCAAAGAAAAUAAAGCAAUCAAAAAAAAGAAUAGAGAGAUCGCAAGUAAGAAAUUUGUUGCGUAAUGAGCGAGAUCGCAAAUUAAAAAAGAAGCAUCGAAAAAGUUGGAUUAAGCCAUGGUUGCAUGUUUGUCGGCAUAUUCGAUGGUAUCCAGAAGAUAAUCGACCUCUAAUAUUUCAGAAGUACAUAUCGUUAAAAAAAUUGCCAAGAGCACUCGUGGGGAGCAUUGUUAAUAGUCCAGCAUACCUCUCGAAGCCAUUAACGAAAAGCAAGGAAGGCACAGAGGAAAUAGGUAUUCCAUUGGGUAUUUUUUCAAUUGGAGAUACGUCCAAUUCUAACAAGACUGCUUCUGAAGAUUAGCAUAAAUCACUUGCCAAUAAAGACCAAUUCAGAGUAUAUUUAAACUUAUCAUUUUCACCUCAUAUUCAACCAGUAAAAUUAUUUAGAGAUAAUAAUAGUCAAUCGAGAAGGCCUGGAAGUCUGAAAAAGACUUUUGCAAGAGAUAAUUUUUAUUUUAAUAAGGAAUUGAACAAAACACCAACAUCUUUAAUGGGAUCUAGAGGACCAGCAGUUCUAAUUGCAGUUCAAAUGAAUGCAGUAGGCGUUCGUAUGUCUAGUGUUGUGUCACUACCUACUUUUCAAGGAUUUCUGGGUACAGAUCCUGAUAAACAUUUAUCUCGGUUUCUUAUAGUAUGUGUAGCUAAUAAUGGCAAAAUUGAAGAUAUUUGGUUGCGAUGGCUGCCAGUGACAUUGAAAGACAUAGUAUUUGAGUGGUAUAACUGCUAACCUGUGGGUCAAUUUCUGAAUUGGGAAGCAUUGAAGAAUGCAUUUUUAUCUCAUUUUUGGCUAAUUGAUUUUAAGGACUGCCUUCCAGAGAAGUUAAUAAACAGCAAAAUGAUCCUAGAGGAGGCGGUGGAAUUGUACUAUGGCCGAAUGGCUGAUAUACUCAGUAAGUGGUCAAAUCACCAAAUACAGGAGGUAUUUAUCUUAUCCAUAUUAAUCAAUGGUUUGCACCUACCAGAGCUAAAAAUGUUUGUAAAGGAAGCUCAAAUCAUUACGGUGGUUGUGUCCCUUAAUAGAGCCAAGGUUUGAGUAGAAUGCCAUUAUGAUCAGUUUUUAACCGCGGGAGCUACGAUGAUUCUAGUUCAAGGUAGAUAUUAAAAUCCGACUUAGAACAAAUGAGUGGGUAGUUAUCCACGGAUGUUAGAAACAUGAGCCCAUUCCAAUACCAAUAUUCAAGGGCCAGUUAAUGUCACCACAUUACAAGCUAUACCAUCGAAUGUGACAACAACAUAUGCUCCAUAUUAUCCAUAUCAACAACAAGCAUUAACUACGGCAGAGAUACCAAUAAUGUCAGCGUUAAAAGAUUCCAAUGAAACCUUGUUAUUGAAUUUGAUGAAGAAAAUGGAAGAAAUGGCCAUCAAUAUGGCCAAAGAUAAGGAGAAUAGGCAAAAGCCUACCAAUACUAGGACCAAUGUAUGGUGCAGUAAUUGUGAGGGCCAUGAUCAUUCUAUAACACAAUAUCCAUCAUCCUCACAAAUAAUGGAUCACUGUACAUUUUGUAGAGGAAAGCACCUAAUAGCAAAUUGUUGGAAUUGGCAAAGACAACAACAAUAAUUUAGUAAUCAGACCAUGAUCCCACCAACCCAAUGAGACGUCAAUCAAGUACAAACAAAAAAUACGUUUGGAUGGAAUAGAAAUCGAUUUAAUCGAUAAAAUUGAGCAUUCAAUAACUUUCAAAGUUCCAAUUUUAAUCAGGAGUUUGCAUCGAACCCUCAAAACUACGGUAAGGAGCAACAGAGGUAUCAGCAAUAUGCUCCACCGACGUCAUUAAACCAAGUUCUCUCAGUACCAACGGGACAACCAGGAUCAUUUUUUAAUCCUACAUGAAACAAGCCUAGUAGGUAUAUACCAGUGGAGGCACCCAAUAUGCCUGAUGGGAGUGCAAGAAGACCACUUUGUUGUUUCCAUUGCAGAUAGAUUGGUCAUUAUGCCAAUGAAUGUCUCAAUUCCAGAGCCAGUGAUGAUUAUGCACCAGUUUGUAGAAAUUGCAAGCAGUAGAAGCAUAUGUAUCAGCAAUGUAAUGCUCUAUUCAAUUUCAAUAAUCAGGAUCAGCAAAUCCAAAGCCUAGGAAAUAUUGAGGAGAUAAAUUGAGGUCCUCAAGAUUCUCCAGUAAAUUGGAUGGAAUGUGUCCAAACCGUUCUUACCCAGAGUCAGCAAAAGAGAAAAGGACCAAUUCAAUAUUUGGAUAAUUGUAGAAUAGAUAUUAAUUCGUUUUUGAAAGACAUUGAUAAAAUAUAUUAAUAGUCUAUAUAAUAAGAAAUUCAGGAGAACAGAUGAGUGAUUUAGUUCUUAAAAGUGGUUAAUUACAGAAUUAUAGUUAGAAUGUGGAGAAUCAGGAGAAAGUAUAUAGGAGUUGUAGAAGUUAAUUAAGGUGCCAUCACUGUGAUAGUUGUGAGCCGGGGUAAGCUUGGUGCUACCUCUUUUCUUUUAUUUGUUAUUUUCUUUGAAUAAGAGGAUUGAAAGUUUUUGAAUAUUGUGAAGUGAAUUAUGGAAUGGAAAUAUGAUUGGUAUUAUUUGAAAAGAAGAAAGAUUCAAUGCUGAAAUCUGAUUGUAGUUCAGCAGAGAGAAUGAGUCUGUAUUUAUGUGAAACACCGUAAUGUGAAUGGCAGUUUUGUGUGAAGAAUUCCAGUGAUUGGAAUAAGGGUAAUUAUGUGCUGAAAGCUGUGAGGGCCCAGUAUUACAAUUGGAGAUUAUGAGGGUGAAUAUAUUGGUGGAAAUAGCAGUUAUUGAUUUUACUGAAUUGCUGUAAAGAAGAGAUCGAUAAGAUGAAGGAGGAGAUUAUAGUUUCCUUGUGUGUUCAGAUAUUAGAAAUAGAGACAAUACAUUCAGGAGGUAAUUGAUUGUGUGACCCUAAAGUGAACGCUUAAGCAACUAGUCAUUUUUCAUGUUCAAAUCUCCCUAUAUGGGUUUAUUCUGGGAGAUUUCUUCCAAAAUAAGUAAAAUAAAAACCACAUUUUGGCACCGCUAUCGGAGAUUGAUAACAUAAUUGAGUGUUAGGAAUUAACUGUUGAAGCAGUAAAGGAGAUUAAGAAGCAAAUUCAGUAGAAAUAAUGAAAGAGUAUGGUUAUUAAGAAAAUGAGAAUUUAACAGCAAAGAGAAUAAAGCAAUCAAAGGAAAGAAUAGAGCAAUCGCAAGCAAGAAAUUUAUUGCGUAAUGAGUGAGAUUACAAAUUAAAAAAAAAACAUCGAUAAAGUUGGAUUAAGCUGUGGUUGCAUGCUUGUCAACAUAUUUGAUCGUACCCAGAAGAUGAUCGACCUCUAAUAUUUUAGAAGUAUAUACCAUUAAAGAAAUUACUAAGAGCACUCACGAGGAGCGCUGCUAAUAGUCCAGCAUACCUCUCGAAGCCGUUAAUGAAAAGCAAGGAAGGCACAGAGGAAAUAGGUACCCCAUUGGAUAUUUUUUCAAUUGAAGAUACGUCCAAUUUUAACAAGACUGGUUCUGAAGAUUGGCAUAAAUUACUUGCCAAUAAAGACCAAUUCAAAGUAUAUCAAAACCUAUCAUUUUCACCUCAUAUUCAACCAGUAAAAAUAUCUGGGGAUAAUAAUAGUGAAUCGGGAAGGCUUGGAAGUCCGAAAAAGACUUUUGUGGGAGACAGUUUUUGUUUUAAUAAGGAAUUGAGCUGAACACCGGCAUCUUUAAUGACGUUCGGAGGACCAACAGUUUUGAUUGUAGUUCAAAUGGGUGUAGUAGGUGAUCAAUUGACUAGCGUCGCGCCAUUACCUACUUUUUCGAGUUUACCUAGUCCGGAUCCAGAUCAAUAUUUUUCUCAAUUCUUGACGACAUUUGUAUCCAAUAAUAGAAGAACAAAAGACAUUUGGCUGAGAUAGCUGCCAGUAACAUUGAAAGACACAGUGUUUGAAUAGUACAACUGCCAACCUGUGAGACAAUUUAUCAAUUGGGAGGCAUUGAAAAAUAUAUUUUUAGCCCAUUUUUGACCAAUUGGUUUUGAAGAACGUCUUAGAGAAAAAUUAAUGACUAGCAGAAUGGUACCAAGGGAAGCAGUACAAUCAUAUUAUGGUCGUGUAGCAAAUAUACUUCAAAAAUGGCCAAAUAACCAAAUACUGGAAUCGUUUGUGUUGUCUAUAUUGGUUAAUAGACUACACCCACCAGAAUUGAAGAUGUUUGUAAAGGAGGCCCAAUCAGCCACCAUUGCAUCAUCUCUUGAGCGAGCGAAAGUAUGGGAGGAAUGUCACUAUGACCAGAACUUAAUAGUUGGAGCCAAGAUGAUUCCAUCUCAAAGAGGUUAUCAAAUGACAACUUGGAAUGACGCAUCAAGAAGUUAUCUGGGAAAGAAUGAAUAUGGUACAAUUCCACAGGGAAUAGUAGAAGUCGUUCCAUUGCAAGUUGUACCACCAUCAUCAUCACAUUCGUAUGCGUCUUAUUUCGCAUAUGAGAACCCAAUACCUACAAAAGAAUUGUCAAAUGCAUUAGUAUCAAGAGAUCCCAAUGAGUCAUUGCUGUUAAUAUUGACAAAAAAAAUGAAUGAAUUGGUUGUGAAUCUGGCCAAAGAUAAAGAAAAAAAGCAUAAAUCAACUAAUAUGCGUCCCAAUGUCUGGUGCAGUAAUUGUAAGGGGCAAGGUCAUUUAGUAACAGAAUGUCCUUCACCACCCAAUUGACUGUACAAUGUACCUUUUGCUGGGGCAAGCAUAUUACCACCAACUGUUGGAAUUUACGGAAGCAACAAAACCUGAAUAACCAGAUAAUGACUCAACCAACUUCAUGGGAUGUCAAUCAAGUACAAACGAAUAAUAGGUUUGGUUGGAAUGGAAAUCGAGUGAAUAAACAAAACAAGAAUUAUUCUAGUUUCCUAAACUCUGAAUUUCACCAAAAAGGUGUAUCCAAUACUCACAGAUUGGCGAUGAACCAAGCAAGAUAUCAUCAAUAUCCAUCCAUGACGAAGCCAAUGCCAGAAUCUAUAGUAACAAUAGGUCAACCAAGAUCCUUUACUCAUCUAACAUAGAACAGACCUAGCCGUUAUAUACCAGUAGAGACACCCAUUAUCCCUGAAGGAGUUGGCACGAGACCACUUGAUUGCUAUUGUUGCAGACAAAUUGGACAUUAUGCAAAUGAAUGUCCUAAAUCCAAGGGCCAGUGAUGACUAUGCUCGAAUAUGUGGAAAUUGUAAGCAGUUUGGUCACACUUAUCAAUAGUGUAAUGCAUCCCUUAUUUAUAAUAACCAGGAUCAGCAAAUACAAACAAGCCAAUCGGUGGAGGACAAAGGCCUUCUUCAACGAGACUCACCAGUACAUCGUGUCGAGAUGGUGAAUGCAGUGCUUACCAGAGGCCAACAAAAAGAUAAGAAUCUAAUUCAGGACCUGGAUGAACCAAUUAAAUGAGAGCAAGUAGCACCAUCCAUGAAGCUAAACGAACCCAUAUCAGUAUUGGAACGUAUCCCAAUAAUGAGACCUCAACAGACUAAGAAAUUCAAUUCGGUUCCACGUGCCAAUUUGUCGAGACCAUCAAGAUCGAUCCCAACUGACCAAGUACUAAUACUUAUACAAUCCAAUAAAAGAUCUUACACAUUAAAGGAACCUUUAGUGAUAGAAAAGUUGAUGAAGUUAUUAGCGGUAAUUUCAAUCUCCAAGAAGAAAUUGCUACCAAAUGGAAUAAAAUCGAAACCAAUGAAAUGCAAAAGAGCAUUGAGAAUUACUCUCAAUAUGGAAUUCUACAACAUUUUGAAGGAUUUGGAUGUUAUUCAGCCUUCAAUUACAAUGAAGCAACUUUUGGCUGAAGCACCGGAAUGUCGAUCUACAUUGAAUUCAGCGUUAAUACGACGAAGAUCUCACACUAAAAAAAUUCAUGAAAUUAGCUUAAAUCCAGAUCUGGGAGCACCAACAAUCGAUGUAUCAAUUGAUGGCAUUUUAAUUCCAGAGGUACAAGUUGAUGGUGGCUCCAAUGUGAAUUUAAUGAAAGCAGAUACAAUAGAGAACUUGGAUCUAAAGCAAUUGCUACCUAUGACAUUGGUCUUGCAAAUGGCAGAUCAUAGUCGAGUAAAGCCAAUGGAAAUCUUAUGCAAUAUUGCCACUGUAAUCAUGGGAUUGACAUAUAAAAUUGACUAUAUUAUAUUUCGAUUACAGAAUUCUACAUUAUCGUAUCCCAUUUUAUUGAGCAAACCUUGGUUUUAUCAAGCCAAAGCUAAGAACGAUUGGAGCCGAGGUACAUUGACAAUUGGAAAAGGCCAUGACCAAAUUGUUCUACAGAUGUACCCGGUACAAUAUCAUGGAGAAUCUCAAUUGCUAGAAUCAAAAUUUACAUCGGAUAACGAGAGUCAAUUGAUUGAGGUAGAUGACAAUGCUAUAGAUUCAGUGCAAUUUUGAGUAGGACAAAACACUUCAACAGUAAAGGCAGGAGUCUACCAAUGUGAAAGUCUUAGCAAAUAUUUACUACAUUAGGAGGAUGCGACUAACUUAGAUCAUGCUAUUGUCGAAUGGAUGAAUAAUUCUGCAGUCAAUAGAGUCAGUACAUUGGAACCAGAUUUGAGUGGUUCCCAUAUGUCAGAUAAUACAAGAUAUUUAGAUCAGGAGAAGACAAUUAAAUCAGAGGUUGUUGAAGAUUCUGUGUGUCAAUCUAUAAACCUGGGCACCAACGAAACGCCACAGCUAAUUAAAAUAUAUGUCGGUAUUAUCGGUACAGAAUUGGAUGCUUGAAAAUAGUUUUUUGUCCGUCACAAAUCUGCCUUUGCAUGGUCGUAUGUGGAUUUGAAAGGGAUUCCAGCCAACGUGUGUGAGCACCAGAUUAUUCUGGAGGAGGGUGUUAUAUCAGUUCAUCAAAGACAACAUCAACUUAAUCCAAAAUAUUCUCUUUUAGUGAAAGAGAAAUUAGAUAAACUUCUUGACGUGGGUUUUAUUUAUCCUGUUCUGUAUAGUACAUGGAUGUCGUCAAUCAUGAUGGUACCAAAGAAGAGUAGAGAAAUCAAGAUAUAUCAGGAUUUCAAGAAACUUAAUUUGGCCACCAAGAAAGUUUACUUUCCUUUACCUUUCACAGACAGUAUGAGUAACAUAUUGUCAUUAUCACCAAGUAGUAAAAGAAUAAGAGUGGGGCACCAGUUAAAGUCAUUUUGUGGUAUUAUUUUGGGUUGGUUGGAGUGCCAUUCUUUUGUAUUUCUUGUGUUUUUGAGAGUAGUAGUUCUAGUUAAGAGUUAACAGUGAGGAGCCAGUCACAAAUAUUGAUUGAAGAUAUUCCAACAUGGAUGAGUCAGCAGCAAUAACAAUUGGAACUUCGAGAUGUCCAGAUCUUGAAAUUGGAAGCUCAAGUCCAUGUACUAGAUGAGUAUAAUGAAGAUCUAUCAAACCAGUUGAGGAAGGAGUCGAUGGAUUGGAGGAAGAAGAAGAAGAUUUGUAAUUCGAAUCAGAUUUGGUCGAACUUACAUUCGAUAAUGCAACAAAUGAUUAAUUAGGUGGGCCAGAGGAACUAGUAACUUCGUUGAGAUUUAUAAAGUAGUUAUUAGUUAGGUAUCAAUUGAGUGUUUGCGAGGAUGCUGCACAGAUAAGAAUGGGGCUAUGUAGAAUAGAAAUUAAUUCGUUUUUGAAAGAUAUUGAUAAAAUAUAUUAAUAAUCCAUAUAAUAGAAAAUUCAGGAAGACAGAUGAGUGAUUUAGUUCUUAAAAGGGAUUAAUUACAAAAUUACGGUUAGAAUUUGGAGAAUCAAGGGAAAGUAUAUAGGAGUUGUAGAAGUUAAUUAAGAUGUUAUUGCUGUGAUAGUGUCAGCCGGGGUAAGCUUGGUGCUACCUCUUUUCUUUUGUUUGUUAUUUUCUUUGAAUAAGAAGAUUGAGAAUUUCUGAAUAUUGUGAAGUGAAUUAUGGAAUGGAAAUGUGAUUGGUAUUAUUUGAAAAAAAAAAAGAUUGAAUGCUGAAAUCUAAUUGUAGUUCAGUAAAGAGAAUGAAUCUAUAUUUGUGUUAAACACCUUAAUGUGAAUGGCAGUUCUGUAUGAAGAAUUGUAAUGAUUGGAAUGAAGGUAAUUGUG